rnacentral:rRNA from 1 species
GAUGAACGCUGGCGGCGUGCCUAAUACAUGCAAGUCGAGCGAACAGACGAGGAGCUUGCUCCUUUGACGUUAGCGGCGGACGGGUGAGUAACACGUAGGUAACCUACCUAUAAGACUGGGAUAACUUCGGGAAACCGGAGCUAAUACCGGAUAAUAUUUCGAACCGCAUGGUUCGAUAGUGAAAGAUGGCUUUGCUAUCACUUAUAGAUGGACCUGCGCCGUAUUAGCUAGUUGGUAAGGUAACGGCUUACCAAGGCAACGAUACGUAGCCGACCUGAGAGGGUGUUGGCCCACACGGGAAGUGAGACCCGCUCCAGACUCCUGCGGGAGGCGGCAGUAGGGACUCUUCCGCAGUGGGGGAAGGCGGGACGGACCAGCCCCGCGGGAGAGAUGAGGUUCUUGGGAUCGUAAAACUUUGUUAUGGGGGAAAAAAAAACGUGUAAGUAAGUGGGCACCCCUGGACGGUACCUAAUAAGAAAGCCACGGCUAACUACGGG